GAUUCCUGUUGAGCUACUUCCAGAGGCAACCGUCCUUGUAAUGAAUUCUCUCCAUCAGAAAAUUAGAUGGGAUUUUGACUCCUUUCACAGAUGACACCAUUGAUUCUACCUAAAUUGGAUGGACUCAGUGCCUACCUCCCAUCCUCAGAACGCAGCAGGACUCAGAAUCUAGUGCUGGGACAUGGCAAACCAUGUCAGAUAAAGAAAUUGAGACCCAGAAAACUUGGGAAAUUUGCUCAAAUUCACACAUAAAUAAAGAAUGGAGUUGUGAAUGGAAGCCGAGCUGUUGGAAUCUAAGAAUUCAGGAUACUGUUUGAGAAGAUAAAGUGUUUCAGGCCUUCCCUGGUGGCGCAGUGGUUGAGAAUCUGACUGCUAAUGCAGGGGACACGGGUUCGAACCCUGGUCUGGGAGGAUUCCACAUGCCAUGGAGCCACUAGGCCCGUGAGCCACAACUACUGAGCCUGCACAUCUGGAGCCUGUGCUCCACAACGAGAGGCCGCGAUAGU